rnacentral:misc_RNA from 1 species
UCUUUAUCAGCGAAUUGAAAAGGAAUGUGAAGCGCACAUAUCCUCAGUGUUACAAUCUUUGGUUGGUCAAAGCCCAGAUUUGGUGGUUUUCUUAUCACUGGUUGAGAGAUGCUGGCAAGAUCUAUGUGACCAAAUGCUGAUGAUUCGUGGUAUAGCCUUGUAUCUAGAUAGAACAUAUGUGAAACAAACCCCAAAUGUACGUUCAUUGUGGGACAUGGGUUUGCACCUUUUCCGGAAACAUCUUGCUUUGUCUCC